CGCUUUUCCGUCUCUUGAGUGCAAGAUAAAGAAGAACGAUGGUGGGCUUUCACAGGAAUACGAUGAAUCCUGACCAUCACGGUGUCUGCAUUGACGGUACAAUACAGGUGAGGAAAGCCAUCCACCACAAUUCAACUCUACAUAUGGAUUUAUUUUAAACCUACUCUAAAGCCAGGCACCUAUCGAAGCCGUUAUUGCUGUCUAGUAGCAGACACGGUCAACAGGAUGCCUAUAACAUCACUUUCACCGACGGUCGCUGUGCAGUUCGUCAGUAACUGACACCGCAACAUUAAGGGGAAGGACACUCCAUGUACAACUAACUAUCCAUCUGCAGUUAAGCAAACAGAUCAUCAAUUCAGAUUUUCUUUGUUUUACCAUGCUUCCUAAAGGUCAAAGGGAUGAGCUACUCUAUGAAGAACAAGUGGACCUCUUGAAGGCUUGGAGCAUCUGGGCCGACCCGUGAGAUGCUGUAUGCAAACCAGUGGACUUUCUGGAGGUUUGCAGUUUCUUAACAAACUGGGUUGAAUAUGAGCAAUGGACCUUCUGGAGGUAAUUUAAGCAUCAGUUGGUUUACCUCAUUCUGGCUAUGAUGACACACUUGCCCUCACUGAGAGGAGUGCCUCGAUAAUGAGAACACCAUAGUACUCAAAACCUCUGAGCCAUGCUUAUUUGUGCAUUUCUAGAAAUGUAUUCAAUGUGUUUAAAAAGAUUAAGCCUGUUCUGAAUUGGCCAAACUGUUUUUCUUCUAGUUGUUAUACAUAUUGAAGUGGAUGGUUUCGUAACAAAUCUGCCGGUAAGUCAAGACUUCAACACAUUUUAUUAAUCUUUCUGUAGUAUAUUACCCAUGGCAGCAUGCUAUCCUAAGGACCUGGGCUUUGUAGCCUCUGGUUCUCCAAGUGCAUGCCAGAGAAACGGGCAGUCUUUGACUGUCCUGGCCUUUGUGCUUGAGGCAGUCACUCUACUGUCCUACAAAUAUUGUAACCUAUUAAUUUUGCCUUGACUGAUUUUAAUUUACAUUUUGCUUUUAUUAACUGCACUUGAGUUCCUCAUGUCUGAUUUCAUCUUUCUGCAGAUGACGCGUCAGUGUGGUGUUGCCCCAAUCAAAGUCGUCUGGGAAGUGUUGUCAAGGUGUGAACCAAUUAGUCAUUUUUUUUGAAGGACCUGUUCUGAUCAAUGAUGACACCUUACUGUGUGACUGUUGGAUGAAACCUGCGGAUAUGGGACUUAGAUCACAGCUACUCUAAAACUGCUAUGAUGGGGCAUAUGAGGACACUAACUUGUAUUUUAUUCUAAGGCCUUGCAACUGGUGACAUGCGUGACAGCAUUGUCAAAUUCCACAUCACAACACGAUGCACGCCGGUACUCGUGUGUAGGUAUGUAGUUGACUAGUUCCUGACUCCUCGACAGGUUGUUCUGAUCAAUGAUUGAUAACAAAACUUGAAAUUGUGACUGUUGGAUGAAACAUGCGGAUAUGGGACUGAGAUCAGGACUCAUGGCAAGUAGUGACAUUUGGAUGAGUCUUCUGGAACUAAAAUCAUACCCCUGUAUUUCUGUUUUGUUAUUAGAUGUGCUAAGAUGGCUGAAGACCAGUCUGGACCAAGGGCUUUCUGGCCUGCCCCUUCAGUUAGAAGAAACCCAACGAGUCUAUUUUAAAUAAACUCUCAAAACCUUGAA
ensembl:lncRNA